UACGUAGGGUGCGAGCGUUAAUCGGAAUUACUGGGCGUAAAGCGUGCGCAGGCGGUUCGUUAUGUCCGUUGUGAAAGCCCCGGGCUCAACCUGGGAAUGGCAAUGGAAACUGGCGAGCUAGAGUGUGGCAGAGGGGGGUGGAAUUCCGCGUGUAGCAGUGAAAUGCGUAGAGAUGCGGAGGAACACCGGAUGGCGGAAGGCAGCCCCCCUGGGCUAGCACUGACGCCUCGAGGCACGGAAAGCGUGGGGAGCAAACAGG
rnacentral:rRNA from 1 species